GUUUAACGGAGUCCACGUCGGUUCUCAGAGAGCGAUACCUUUCAGUGUAACAAACUGCUCCUCAGCUGUAGCCCGGGUCACCAUCGACCUGUCCGAAUAUAAGGACUUCUCCGUCCAUCUCUCUGAACCGUCAGCAAAGAGGGUGCCAGGUGUGAGUGUCAUGGAGGUGCAGGGCUGCCAGACUGUGAAGUGCUCCCUCGUCUUUGUUCCCACUCAGAUAGCCACCUAUGAGUUUGACCUUCCACUGACGGUCAAUGGAGUAAGAUGUCCUCCUGCUCCUCUGUCUCCAUCCCUCUCUCCGUCCUCCUCACCCACCUCCUCCUCUUACUCAGUGGCAGCCGGCAGCAUGAAGCACACGGUCAAACCGCUUUCCUACUGGGUCCCCAUGGCGACACAGCAGCCGUGCAUAGAGGCUACAGGUGUGUGCCUUAUGAAAUAGUU
rnacentral:lncRNA from 1 species